AUGAUUCCUGUGUCUUUCAGACAGAGACGACUGUCCUCAGCGGGGACGCGCCUCCCGGCCGCCCCGGUGCCCGCCGCCCAGUGUCCGCGCCGCCGCGCCGAAGCCGGAGCCGGAGCCGAAGGGAGAGCGGGAUCCUGCCCGGGUGCCACCUGCCAGGAGAGGAGGAGGCUGACGAGCGCGCUGGAGCAAUUUAUAGGCACCCAAAAGCGCAGGGGAAAGGGGAGCUGCUUUGGCAUCUCAUUCCAGCAUCUGCUCUGCUCUUCCCACUCGCAGAGAGUUUGGCAUUACUCUGUCAGUGUGGGAAAUACAUAUUUUUUUUCUUAUCUCCCUCCCCCACCCCUCCCGCAAAUGGAUGAACAGCGAAAUCGUGAGCCUCACUCACUAGCUGCAUCUUGCGAUGACAGCUCUUCCUGGAGCAAACCAAAGGGAAGAGAUGUGCUUAACAGCCUCCGGAUACCCUUCAGGUCACCAAUCGAGAAUUAAAAGGUCAAUCCACCUCCUGCUUAACGCUUCCCUGAGGCCACCCUACCAUGUUGGUGUUUUAUGGGAAAUACCUCUUUAAAUGCAAAGAUGCUUUACCCAUUGUUCAAGUAGAAGUUAUUUGAAAAUAUAUCUCCCACAAUAAUAGAGAUUAACAUCUCUGGCAAUUUCGGAUCUCUCUCUUCCCCCUCACCCCGAUUACAACCAUAAAGACACUGAAAGAAAUAGUUCUUCCUGUGAAUUAAAAUUGACAUACUCAUCACUGGCAGCAGUGUUUCCUGGUGUUAAAGCCAGCCACUGCUUUGCUUGCAAACUGACACCUAGGGAAAGUGUUCCCUUUUGUUUAGAAGCCAGAGAAAAGUGCGGGGCAUAUGCAAAUCAACAGAUGCCUAGACCUGAGGAAGAGAUCUCUUUGGUUUAACUUGGGGGCAGCAAAGCAUUUUGUUAAAACUUGGGGUUUUCUCUUUUCUUUUCUUUGUGUGUGUGUGUGUGUUCAUGAAAGUCUUCUCCUCCCCCAAGGUCUGGUGAGCACCUCUGUGACUGAGUGGGAAGGUGAAUGUGCAAUAUUAGUGGCAUUGCUGCUGAGAAAAUAUUAAGGAACUUGUCCUGCUUACAGACAUACAAGGUACACAAAGAGCUGUUUAAAUAAACAAACAGAAUUGAUUCCUAAAUCA
rnacentral:lncRNA from 1 species